rnacentral:rRNA from 1 species
GACGAACGCUGGCGGCGUGCCUAAUACAUGCAAGUAGGACGCAGUUGCGAACGGGUGAGUAACGCGUAGGUAACUACCUAUUAGAGGGGGAUAACUAUUGGAAACGAUAGCUAAUACCGCAUACUAGUAGAUGGAACUGCGUUGUAUUAGCUAGUAGGUAGGGUAAAGGCCUACCUAGGCAACGAUACAUAGCCGAGUCGGGAGGGUGAUCGGCCACACUGGGGCUGGGACCCUGCCCCGGCUCCUUCCGGAGGCAGCAGGUGGGAAACUUCGGAAAAGGGGGGAACCCUGGCCGAGCAACGCCGCGUGAGUGGAGAAGGUUUUCGGAUCGUAAAGCUCUGUUGUUAAGGAAGCGGUACUUAACCAGAAAGGGACGGCUAACUACGUGCCAGCAGCCGCGGUAAUUC